GACGAACGCUGGCGGCGUGCCUAACACAUGCAAGUCGAGCGAAUGAAGUUCCUUCGGGGCUGGCUUUAGCGGCGGAAAGGUGAGUAACACGUGGGCAACCUGCCUCAUAGAGGGGAAUAGCCUCCCGAAAGGGAGAUUAAUACCGCAUAAGAUUGUAGGACCGCUUGAUACAGCAAUUAAAGGAGCAAUCCGCUAUGAGAUGGGCCCGCGGCGCAUUAGCUCGUGGGUGAGGUAAUGGCUCACCAAGGCGACGAUGCGUCGCCGGCCUGGGAGGGUGAUCGGCAACAUUGGGAGUGAGACACGGACGAGACUCCUACGGAAGGCAGCAGUGGGGAAUAUUGCACAAUGGGGGAAACACUGAUGCAGCAGCGUCGCGUGAGUGAGGACGGCCUUCGGGUUGUAAAGCUCUGUGUUCAGGGACGAUAAUGACGGUACCUGAGGAGGAAGCCACGGCUAACUACGUG
rnacentral:rRNA from 1 species